CCUCUAUCUCGCUCUGCUGGUGGAAGCUUUGCAGCUUCUUCAACUCGACGUUGACCUUUUUCAUCCUUUCCUCGUAGACGACGAUUUCGCCCUCCAGCUUGCUCCUCCUCUCGUGGGCGAUCAGCAGGCUCCGGAACGGAUCAGUCAGUUGGGCUUGACCGGCAGAGACCGGCAGAGGCUGGCAUAGGUGCUCAGGGGCGGCCGACUUCCGGCACAAGUCCUCGUGGAGCUCCUUGCUGAUGGUGUUCUGACUGCUCUGUUUCUCCCGCUGCGCGGCCUUUUCCAGCUGCUCCUCCAUGCUCUUGAAGGUCUCCUUGUACGUGGUGAUCUGGA